rnacentral:tRNA from 1 species
UUCAGUCUGGCCUAGAGGCUAGGGUUCCUGGUUUUCACCCAGGCUGCCCAGGUUCAAUCCCUGGGCAGAAU